rnacentral:rRNA from 1 species
UACGAAGGGGGCUAGCGUUGCUCGGAAUGACUGGGCGUAAAGGGCGCGUAGGCGGUUUGCACAGUCAGGCGUGAAAUUCCUGGGCUUAACCUGGGGGGCUGCGCUUGAUACGUGUUGACUGGAGUGCGGAAGGAGGGUCGCGGAAUUCCCAGUGUAGAGGUGAAAUUCGUAGAUAUUGGGAAGAACACCGGUGGCGAAGGCGGGCGCUGG